rnacentral:lncRNA from 1 species
GAGAGGAAAGUGCAUGGCCCUUUACAGCAGAAAUGCAUAGCUAGGGUGAUAUAAUUUAUUCUGGGAAUUGCAUAUGAGGCUGUAUUCCAGAUACCGGGUUAUAUUUGGUGGUUGACUAGAAAAUAGUAUACCAUUUUUCUAUUUAAGGCUAAAACAAACUCCAAGAUGCCUUUUGAGCCUAUAAUUGUCCACGAAAAUAAACAUAUUAUCCCCCCUCCCCCCCGCCCUGCACCAUUCGAACAGCCUUUCUCUCCGGCUCAGUUGGAAGUGCUGUUAGAAAAGUCUCUGCCUCUGCCCGUAUCUGUCUGUCUGCCUUUCUUGGGCAGUCGCAGCUCCUCUCAUUACCUUGUUCUGUUUGUAGGAGCCUGCGCUCCAGACUCUGCCACCCUUUGGCCUCACUUGGGGUUUCUGGGCCAGAUCUCACCUGCCCUACUCUCUGGGUAUCCUGCCCGCUGCUGGGUGUGGUUGUCCAUCGCAGAGCCAGGUACGUUUUCCAGGAAUUGUCAUCUUCAGGAGGAGCCAGGCGUGGAUUUGGUCCUCAGAACUUAUUCGGAGCCUUUCCCUGGGACUUCCAGAAUCCUCUUGGGGCUUCGUUAUAUUGGUUUCUGAUGUGGAUGCUUUGGGUUGAGGCUUACGUUUUGACUGGUGGCCGUCCAGUGGAUCUGUUGAAGGCUUCAGAAGCGUGGAGGCUGACUUCCUGCACCACCUGCAAAGCGAAGACUUCAUCUGCAGGGUCCACUUGUCCUAGCUUCUUAGCUGACUGCCCUUGUGCUCAAACAGCUCUCUUUACCGUCAUCAGCUUAUGGCCUCCUCCUUUACAGUUGGAACUUGCCAACCUCCACAAUUGUGUGUCCUGAUUCCUCAAAAUUCCCUCUCUCCAUCCACUUCUGCCCCUGUCUCUCUCUCUCUCUCCUCUGUAGGGUCUGUUGCUUCCCGUGUAUCUCUGAGGAAUCCUGACUACACAGUAGCCAUCAUUUUCAGUAAGAAAAGAAUCUUUUUUUGCAGGGCCUGGUAAGUGGAGAUAUCCAAGUGCUUGGAUGGACUGUCUUCUAGAGGUCUUUGUGAGCAUCUGGUAAUUGUGGUAGUAACAGAACCACUAACCAGUUUAAUUGCCAGAUCCUUUUAAUAUUUGAAUGUUUCUCCUACAUCAUGCACAAUGGCUUCCUACAAUCUUAGGUGUUUUAAAAGCUUUACAUCCCUGAGGGGAGAACAAUUUGCCGUAUUAGCAUUGUACUCUUGACUGUUGUGUCUAUGAGCAAUUAAAGGCCUUCAAGAAGGACAUGGGCUUAUGAGUUGAGAGAAGCUGACAUCAACCUAAAGUGGUAAAGGAGGAGUGUGAUUAGAAAAGUACUAGUUCAUCAAUGGUCAGUUCUUUAGUGUUUUGAUAUUGUUGUUUCCUCCUACAGGAAGUUACAACCUGUAACCACUGGGACUCAGAAUAACAAGGAUCCCCUUUUGUAUCAAGACUGUUACCUAUGGAACCGUCAAUCUUUGUCUAAUUUCACCUCCUCAUGGCUGGCAAAAGCCCAAUUGAAAAUCUUAUGGCCA